GACGAACGCUGGCGGCGUGCUUAACACAUGCAAGUCGAACGGUAAGGCCCUUCGGGGUACACGAGAGGCGAACGGGUGAGUAACACGUGGGUGAUCUGCCCUGCACUUCGGGAUAAGCCUGGGAAACUGGGUCUAAUACCGGAUAGGACCACUGCCUGCAUGGGUGGUGGUGGAAAGCUUUUGCGGUGUGGGAUGGGCCCGCGGCCUAUCAGCUUGUUGGUGGGGUGAUGGCCUACCAAGGCGACGACGGGUAGCCGGCCUGAGAGGGUGACCGGCCACACUGGGACUGAGAUACGGCCCAGACUCCUACGGGAGGCAGCAGGGGGGAAUAUUGCACAAUGGGCGCAAGCCUGAUGCAGCGACGCCGCGUGAGGGAUGACGGCCUUCGGGUUGUAAACCUCUUUCAGCACCGACGAAGCGCAAGUGACGGUAGGUGCAGAAGAAGGACCGGCCAACUACGUGCCAGCAGCCGCCGUAA
rnacentral:rRNA from 1 species